rnacentral:rRNA from 1 species
UACGAAGGGGGCUAGCGUUGCUCGGAAUCACUGGGCGUAAAGGGCGCGUAGGCGGCUGUACAAGUCAAAGGUGAAAUCCCUCGGCUCAACUGAGGAACUGCCUUUGAAACUGUACGGCUUGAGGCCGGGAGGGGGUAGCGGAAUUCCCAGUGUAGCGGUGAAAUGCGUAGAGAUCCGGAGGAACACCAAUGGCGAAGGCAGUGCCCUGGCCGACGGCUGACGCUCAGGCGCGAAAGCGUGGGGAGCAAACAGG